CUUACCUGGGCUUGACCUUGAUCGGGAAUUUUCAGAGAUGGGUGUGCCUCUUUUGGGGUCGGGACACAGGUGGUGCAUGGCUGUCGUCAAGCUCGUGUUCUGAGAUGUUGGGUUAAGUCCCGCAACGAAGCGCAACCCCUGUUCCUUGUUGCCAGCACGUUAUGGUGGGGACUCAGUGGAGACCGCCGGGGUCAACUCGGAAGAAGGUGGGGAAUGACGUCAAGUCAUCAUGCCCCUUAUGUCCAGGGCUUCACGCAUGCUACAAUGGUCGGUACAGAGAGUGGCGAGCCUGUGAGGGUGAGGGAAUUUCCAAAAACCGGUUUCAGUUCGGAUUGGGGUUUGCAACUUGACCUCAGAAGUUGGAGUCGCUAGUAAUUGCAGAUCAG
rnacentral:rRNA from 1 species